CCUACGGGAGGCAGCAGUGAGGAAUAUUGGUCAAUGGGCGCGAGCCUGAACCAGCCAAGUCGCGUGAGGGAAGACGGUCCUAUGGAUUGUAAACCUCUUUUGUCGGGGAGCAAAAGACGCCACGCGUGGCGUUCCGAGAGUACCCUACGAAAAAGCAUCGGCUAACUCCGUGCCAGCAGCCGCGGUAAUACGGAGGAUGCGAGCGUUAUCCGGAUUUAUUGGGUUUAAAGGGUGCGCAGGCGGAAGAUGAAGUCAGCGGUAAAAUUGAGGGGCUAAACCGCUUCGAGCCGUUGAAACUGGUGGGCUGGAGUGAGCGAGAGGUAUGCGGAAUGCGUGGUGUAGCGGUGAAAUGCAUAGAGAUCACGCAGAACUCCGAUUGCGAAGGCAGCAUACCGGCGCUCAACUGACGCUCAUGCACGAAAGUGUGGGGAUCGAACAGGAUUAGAUACCCGAGUAGUC
rnacentral:rRNA from 1 species